GGUGAGAUGGCCGAGCGGUUAAGGCGCUGUGUUCAGGUUAUACCUAGUAUUACCUAGUAACGAUCUUCGCAGUCAGGUUUCCUGGCGUGGGUUCGAGUCCCACUCUCAUCA